CAGGCCUAACACAUGCAAGUCGAACGAACUCUUCGGAGUUAGUGGCGGACGGGUGAGUAACACGUGGGAACGUGCCUUUAGGUUCGGAAUAACUCAGGGAAACUUGUGCUAAUACCGAAUGUGCCCUUCGGGGGAAAGAUUUAUCGCCUUUAGAGCGGCCCGCGUCUGAUUAGCUAGUUGGUGAGGUAAAGGCUCACCAAGGCGACGAUCAGUAGCUGGUCUGAGAGGAUGAUCAGCCACAUUGGGACUGAGACACGGCCCAAACUCCUACGGGAGGCAGCAGUGGGGAAUCUUGCGCAAUGGGCGAAAGCCUGACGCAGCCAUGCCGCGUGAAUGAUGAAGGUCUUAGGAUUGUAAAAUUCUUUCGCCGGGGACGAUAAUGACGGUACCCGGAGAAGAAGCCCCGGCUAACUUCGUGCCAGCAGCCGCGGUAAUACGAAGGGGGCUAGCGUUGCUCGGAAUUACUGGGCGUAAAGGGAGCGUAGGCGGACAUUUAAGUCAGGGGUGAAAUCCCGGGGCUCAACCUCGGAAUUGCCUUUGAUACUGGGUGUCUUGAGUAUGAGAGAGGUGUGUGGAACUCCGAGUGUAGAGGUGAAAUUCGUAGAUAUUCGGAAGAACACCAGUGGCGAAGGCGACACACUGGCUCAUU
rnacentral:rRNA from 1 species